rnacentral:piRNA from 1 species
UGAAAUAUAUUUAGGACACAGAAUGGGU